rnacentral:tRNA from 2 species
CCGGAAACACAGAGUGACAACCUUGCCAAGGUUGGGGUCGAGGGUUCGAAUCCCUUCGCCCGCUCCA